rnacentral:rRNA from 1 species
GGGGGGGGGGGGCGGCGGGCGGGGGAGAGGCAAGGGGAAGGGAAGGGGCGGGCGUGGGGGGGGGGGGGGAGUGGCGAACGGGUGCGUAACACGUGAGUUACCUGCCCUUGACUUUGGGGCACCUUCAUGCAACUGGGGCCAAUACCGGAUAGGAGCUCCUGCGGCAUGGUGGGGGUUGGUAAGUUUCGGCGGUUGGGGAUGGGCUCGCGGCUUAUCCGCCUGUUGGUGGGGUAGGGGCUUACCAAGGCUUUGACGGGUGGCCGGCCUGGGAGGGUGACCGGCCACGUUGGGACUGAGAUACGGCCCAGACUCCUACGGGAGGCAGCAGUGGGGAAUAGUGCACUAUGGGCGGAAGCCUGGUGCAGCAACGCCGCGUGCGGGAUGACGGCCUUCGGGUUGUAAACCGCUUUCGCCUGUGACGAAGCGUGAGUGACGGUAAUGGGUAAAGAAGCACCGGCUAACUACGUG